UCCACAACCCGUUCUACAGUUUACUAAUUGCCUUCAGAACGUUGAGUCAAACAGGCAACACUUUCAACGAUGAAUUAUGUAGAAUCUCCAGUAGAAUGAUGGCAAGAAGAAGGUAUAGUCCUCCAUGUCCGACUAUUCCAGGAUGUGAGAGUUUAAUUAAAUCGAUGUUUGUAUUUAGUGGGAUUACUGCACAAUGUGGUAUGGUGGAACAUUGAAUGUCCUGUUUGGUAACUUGGUGGAAAUUUCGUGCUGAGAGAGAAACCUGACCAAUGUGGUUGCUGCCUUCCAAGUUUCAUGUUCACGCCUUGGACGCAUAUUCGGCGGUUUGAUAAGGAGACGGAGUAGAUACAGUCCGAGAGGCGGCACGUUUGGUGAUUUCGGUUCACAAACCGUGUGGAUGUAUGAGACUUUUUAUUGAAACGUGUCGUUCAAGAUAAAACAAUGCGUUUUCCUACGGGAUGAAUUUGAUAUUCAUGGAGGGAAACUCAUCCAGUCCUACUUUUCCAAGAGUCUUUUUGAAGCUGUGAAUCUGGAUCAGGCCAGACUGAGGCAACACACACCAGGACAGAUGGAGACUACAGCAAAUAACAGCAGUGCUUUGUGCGUUCAACCCAGAGUCACGUGGUCUAUUUAUGAAGACUGAAAAGACUGAGGAUACAAAACAACAAGAUCAUGGCACAGGGGAAGAUAUAAGUAGGGCAGCAUCGGAGCAUGGCUGACUGUCUGGACUAUUUCAGCGCAGCUCAGUUCAGACAGGAAUCGGCUUCCUAGCCGUCGCUUCUUAACCAGGGGCCAAGCCCCCCUCCGGCACAUUCCUCCUUCACCACCUUCUCUCUCCCCUCCUCUCUGAGAUCAAUGCUCCAUUAUUUAUAUAAUGGGAUGCGUCAAAUCCAAGAAGAGCGAUCCGAUCCAGUACGCCAACUCGGUGAAGGCGGACGGCAAUCCUGGGAAGUGGCAGGGUGAGAAAGCGCUGCUGGUCCACUAUGAGACGGGGUCCGCGGACGACUCUGCCCGGGUGGACCCCAUUCUGCUGGAGUAUGCCCAGCGGCUGUCUGAGGAGAUAGUGGCCCGGGCCGUGCAGCAGUGGUUGGAGGUGGACAGCCGCUACAUUGACAUCCCCUACAUUGAGUGUGAUGUGCCAUGAGGGGGAGGGGAGGGGCAUCGGUCUAAUGGAGAGGCAUUGCCAGAGAGUGGUAUUUCUGUUAUGGGAUUCACCUUGAACCUCUGGGGAAAAGAGGACUACUGGAUGCCCAACAGACAGACAGACAGACAGACAUCACUCUCCUUCAGGUUGAAACAAUACACUACGAAGAUCUACUAGCCGAUGCAAGAUGUUGAUGCCAUUCUAUGGUCCAAAGCCAUUUUUCUGUUUAAUUCAUACUUGGACAAAGACCUUGGUUAAUCCUCUCAUUUUCAAUCCAGACCAUGUGCUUGUCUCCAUCGUUAGCUAGAUGAUGAGAGUUCCGAGCUGGAGGGUGUGAUAUCUUUGUCUUGGGAGCCAAUAAAGCAGAAGAGUAUCAUUGAAUCCUGCUUUGAAAAUGACCGGUUCUGCCUUUCAGUGAAUAUCUAUCGUUUCCGCUUGACGCGUGCCAUCCUGCGGCCAAAUAGCAGGUCCGAUGUAGGAAGUUAUUUAUUAGUACCUCAAAUGGCCAAUGUUUUUCACUUGAGAUUUUUUGCUGGAGUCAGCAGGUACAUGCCUCCCUCUCCAUCUGUGCCCAGACAGAAGCUCCCAGUUCAGAGUUCUUGGAUAAUGGCAUCCCAGGGGGCCUGUGGUCGACCAACAAAGGAGAGCUCAUUAUUCAUCCUGCCCACCUACCCAUUAAGCAUGUACGACGACGAGCUGCAGCAACCAAGGGCCUGACAACGGUCACUUUGACGAAAUUAUGCUCUACGAACAUGGCCGUGGGAAGCUGUUUUGGGUUGGGGGUGCUGAUGAGUAUUUUUGUCCACUCAAAUGAGUAAUAAAGGCCAAGUUCACUAAGGAUGUUUUUUCAAUUUAUCAGGGGGUGCUGCAGCACCCUCAGCAUCCCUACUUCCUGCGGCUAUGUUUAGGAAUGUUUUACAGAGGUUCAGCACCCUCCCAUUCUAUGAAUUUGAAUGCCAUUGACAAUAGCACAUCCCUGAGGGCUGGCUAAGUCCCCCAUGCCUCGAGGAAAUCAGGACACGAGGAUGGAUUGACACACUUUUACUGAGACUUGGCUUUUGUACACAAAACGAGUUCUGGGUUCACAAAUACAUUUUGCUUUCGCCAAAAUGUCUUGGGCCAAGCACCCUGGUUUUAACAUACUGUGUUCUACAUAAUGAGGAACUGCUGCCAUCCGCCCCAUAGAAUUUACAGCACAAAUAUGCAACUCUCAAAGGCCAUGAUAUUUUUAUUGAGAGCAAAUGGCUUCUUAAAAUAGUACGAUGCUAUUUUAACAGGCCAUAGGCACACAUAAGCACAAUGGAGAGUUGAGUUGUUUGGAAAAGGAGAACAACUGGCAAAGUCCUUAAUGAAUGGUAGUACAAGCACAAUACGCUUGAUGGGCUUUCGUAUGGCGUUUAUAAGAUAGGUCAUAUCAGUGGGUUUUAGUCAGUCAUGGCAGGUCAGUUCCUACCAUACCACAACUGAUGUUCAAGAAGCUUUAAAUGAGUCAAGGCUGGGCAAGAUGGUACAUUUCACAGAGCAUUAAAUCAGGGUGCCAUUGUAUACACACCACAAAGAACAAGUAGACAUUAUUUCACCGGCUAAGGAAGUUUGACGUGUGUAUCUCAAGUAAGAUUCGGCUGCUAAGCCAUUAGGUAUGCUCAGUAAAGGAAAUGGUAGUGGUGUGCCUCAAAUGCUACACCCAAAAAAACAUUACAGUAAAAAGCAACAAAUAUAUAAACGGCAUUUUCACUAAUCUGGGUUGAAAGAUGAAUCUCUUGAACCCAUUCAAUUAUGUAAACCAAUUG